rnacentral:tmRNA from 1 species
GGGGGCGUACUGGUUUCGACGGGGAUCAGAGAAGCUAAAGAAGCCAUUCGCAGAAUUCUGGGGCUGCGUCACCAACCUAGAAACUUAAACUUAAACGCUGAAGACAAUUUAGCAUUUGCUGCUUAAUUAAAGCAGCUGUCUACUUUCAGACUCCCGCGACUGAAAGCUAGACACCGAUCAGCGGGGCACUUUGCCUCUUAAGCUUUGCGGAGGUAAAAGAACUCAUGAAGCUACCGAAUUCCAAAGCUUGUCGUUAAGCGCUGGGAUAAGGGAAUAAAAAAGUAGCGACUGUAAUGGGAGAGUCUUUAGUGGACGGAUUUUCGGACAGGGGUUCGAUUCCCCUCGCCUCCAUCU